rnacentral:lncRNA from 1 species
CUUUGUUUCUUUUAUUUUUAUUUUCUCAGACGCGUUCGAUUAUCCUUGGAUAUGUUCUGCUCGUGUUUUUUACCGUGGACGAGGUAACGAUAUUGUAAAAGCGCAUUUGCAAUUUUAUGCCAACUUCAUUACAAACACCGAAGAAGAGAACGGCGCGGCCGUAAUCGAUAAACGAUAAAAUAAGAGCUGAUAGAAGAUAUAUUCGCGAAAGGGAGACGAAGAGAGAGAAUGGGAGAGUGUGAUAGAGAGAGAGAGAGAGAGAAAGCACUUCCUUGUUGAUUUUACGCCGUCGAGAAUCGGAAAGCCUGUUGAGAAUGGAAAGCCCUGUUAUCGGCGAAGCGCGAUCGCUCAGAAAUGGAAUAUCGUUAACCCUUUGUGAUACGAGACGCUUCGCUGACGAUUAAAAAAGAAAAGAAAAUCCACUUGAGCAAGAAA